GACGAACGCUGGCGGCGUGCUUAACACAUGCAAGUCGAACGGAAAGGCCCUGCUUGCAGGGUACUCGAGUGGCGAACGGGUGAGUAACACGUGGGUGAUCUACCCUGCACUUCGGGAUAAGCCUGGGAAACUGGGUCUAAUACCGGAUAGGAGCCAUUUUUAGUGUGAUGGUUGGAAAGUUUUUUCGGUGUAGGAUGAGCUCGCGGCCUAUCAGCUUGUUGGUGGGGUAAUGGCCUACCAAGGCGGCGACGGGUAGCCGGCCUGAGAGGGUGGACGGCCACAUUGGGACUGAGAUACGGCCCAGACUGCUACGGGAGGCAGAAGUGGGGAAUAUUGCACAAUGGGCGCAAGCCUGAUGCAGCGACGCCGCGUGGGGGAUGACGGCCUUCGGGUUGUAAACUCCGUUCGCUAGGGACGAAGCUUUUUGUGACGGUACCUAGAUAAGAAGCACCGGCUAACUACGUG
rnacentral:rRNA from 1 species